AUUGAACGCUGGCGGCAGGCUUAACACAUGCAAGUCGAGCGAGCGGCGGACGGGUGAGUAAUGGCUGGGAAACUGCCUGAUGGAGGGGGAUAACUACUGGAAACGGUAGCGAAUACCGCAUACCAUCAGAUGUGCCCAGAUGGGAUUAGCUAGUAGGUGGGGUAAUGGCGCACCUAGGCGACGAUCCCUAGCUGGUCUGGGAGGAUGACCCGCGACACUGGAACUGGGCUACGGACCAGACGCCUAAGGAAGGCAGCAGUGGGGAAUAUUGCACAAUGGGCGCAAGGCUGAUACAGCAACGCCACAUGUGUGAAGAAGGCCUUCGGGUUAUAAAGGACUUUCAGCGAGGAGGCGUUACUAGCAGAAGAAGCACCGGCUAACUCCGUGCCAGCAGCCGCGGUAAUUC
rnacentral:rRNA from 1 species